AGGGCGGGGUUGGUCCCACCUUCUGCAGAGAGGGGAUGCAGGGGGGGUUGGCUUGGCUCCGCAAAGCUCCCCAGGGGCUCCCUGUGGAGUGAGGCGGAGUAGGGGUGUGGUAUCCCAACCUCUCGCGUAACAGCCCCAGAUCCUUGCAGCCCAGCUCAUCGGUCCUGAAAGCCCAUCGUGGGCCCAGGGCGCAAGUCCUCGCCCCUCCGAGCUACAGCACCGUGACACAGUAACACAGGCAGCCCAUGGGCAUAGUGCUGGGCAAGCCCCACAAACCAGGGGCACGCCUCAUCUGGGACAAGGGCUAGCUCCCCAAAUGUGCCAGCAUGGUCAGCAGCACAUCCAGCCCUCCCUGCUUCACCUCACAGCCUUCAUUAGUGUGUAUCCAUUCACAGAGUUCAAGCGUAGGCUAGUGGCCUCCCAGUGACAUAAAAAUGGUCCAAAGAGGCUACCAGCUCCCAAUACAUCAAAACAAGAGGGUAGCACACAACAAAGUUUCAGAGUGGUAUCUGGGUUAGUCUGUAUCACCAAAAACAAAAACUCCAUUGAGGGUGCAGGUUUUGCAAAGUGAAUGCCGCACAGCCCGUGUCUUGGUCCAGCCACCAUUGAAGGGCUCUGAUUAAUGCCAGCAGAAGUAUGACGACUUUGUCUAGCGGGUGAUGACCUGGUAUGUAUACCAAUGCCAGUCAUAAUUGGAGAGGCUGCAGCCUGAGUCAUUUAUGCUGCACCACAUAAGUGCAAGAGGCCAUGUGCCCCAGGAGCUUCAGGCAGCACCUUGCCAUGAUGUACAACAGGACCUUUUACGUCCUCCGGUGCCAGCGGAUCACCCAUAAGUGUGACCUGAGAGUCUCGGACUUCUGCCCUGGGAAAGGAACCCCUCUCCGACCGGGACGGCAAAGGUCCCCUCGUCUCUGAGGCUGUUGAGUUUUAUUUGUAGGAAGAAGAUCACUACAGGGUAUUGCUUGCUGAGCAAGAGAUAAGAGCGGAAAGAAGGAACUGAGGAGGCAACGGGCAGAUGCCUAUAUACUGGACCAUGGAGGCGCCACUCUAGAGUCAACCUGAUGGAUACCACUAGGAGAAAAAUGUCCUGCAACGGUGCAGGCGAUGCGCACACUCCUCUGUUGGAAUGGACAUGAGCAAGCACUCAAAGAAGAAUCAUAAGUAACAUCAGUCAUUUUGCCAGUAUCCCAGAGGGACCUCUAGAGAGCAGCUUUUCUCAUUAGCCAGAGAGAGUCAGUUCCAAACCUUUAGUAGUCAUAAACCUGCCUUAUAUCAUCUCAUUUCCUGUUUGCAGAACUCAGCUCUCAUUCCUAACUGCCAUGGAUCCCUUCCUUCUAGCUUUCCAUCCUUUUUCCUGUUUCAAGGCAUGUCAGCCAAAUCAAUCUCCUUUGCACUCCUAGCACUGAGGAGGAAAAGAAUAAUGGCUCUCGGCCAGACUGUAAACCCCCUAUUCACAAGAGUGACCUAAUUCCAAUGGGACUACUCAUAUGAGUAAGGCCAAGUCUACACCUAAAAAUUAGCUUGACCUAGCUACAUCAUUCAGGGCUGUGAAAAAUGUUGCACUCUGUGCAAUGUAGUGAGGUCCAUCUAAUCCACACUGUAGAAGCAAUUAAGUGAAUGGAAGGAUUCUUUCACCUCUCAGAGAGGUGCUGGUUCCAGGACCCCUUGCAACCCUGUCUACUUUAAGCACUGGCUGUCUGCAGGUAAUGCUGAACGGAGUUCUCAAGAGAGUGGUAUCUGCUAUUUGGCUGGGGAUAGUGGGCAGCCCUCUCUUCACAGUGAGCAGUGCAAGGCUGAUUAGGUUUGCUGCACUUGGGCAGGAAAUUCUGGGACAUUGGGCCAAAUGGCUGAAGUGGCUGGGUAGGUUUUAUAGAUUGGCUGGAGGGAGAAACAUUCAGGGAGGUUUCUUCGGCCUGGGAUUUCUCGGUGAUACAGCAACCUGCAAUGGAAACAAGAUUGUUUCUUUGUUUCUUUUAGCCUGCUCAUUGGAAGGACUUGGCUAUGCUGAAUGCAGCUUGUGCUGACCACGGGGGGGCCAGAGAUCUGCCCACAGGCUUCCUCAGCUUGUCUUCCCAAAUGCUAGAAUUGCUGCUGUGAACAAAUGUGGUUUCCAUGCUGGCCAUCACAUGUGAAAUGAAAAAUGCCUUAUUAUCGGUGGAUGCCUUAUUAUCGGGGAGGUCUUAUU